rnacentral:piRNA from 1 species
UAGUAAAUUAAGCGAGCAAGGGCACCAUC